CUGAAUGAACCAGUCAGUGCAGUGGCAUCUUUUAUAAAUGCAGUGAAUAUAUGUAGACAAACUGAUUUUUGCACACAUGUUCUGGCUGCUUGUUAUGUAGAACUGAUAAAGGUUCUUUGUGAAGUUGAAGAUAUAUUUGACUUAGAAUCAAACAUAAUUGAUGCAGAAUCAAACAUAGUCGAUCCAGAAAAUAACACAGUUAAGGAUAUAAUCCUUCAUCAGCUGUCAUCAAACGGUCAAUGGAAAGCCAUUUCCUAUUUGUUAAUAGGUGCUAUUACAGGCGCUGAUUCAAAACUUGCAGGAAGUUUCUCAAACUGCGAUUGUUCUGCCUUAUCAGUUUUGAAGUUGUUUACUGAGACCAUAGACACACAGAAAAAAGAAUGGGGCUGCAAACUGGCAAUUAAACUAUUACAAAAUGGUGCUUCAUUUCAAGAAUUUGAGAAUGGAUUGAAGGGGACCGUUAUUCACUUCGGGGUUAACAUUACUUUGAAAACAGGUAAUGUUGAGUUUUUGAAAUAUUUACUAUCAACUCAUAUAAAAACAACAUCAAGCAUGAAUGUCAAACUCAACGGAGAUACAGCACUACACGUUCUUGUGAAGGAUUUAGAAAUACGUAAAACAACUAUUGGCGAAACGAUCAUUGGUCUUUUGGUUAAUCAUGGCUGUGGUUUAAAUAUAAAAGACAGUGCAGGAAAAACAGCCAUUGAAUAUACGAGUAAAUCUGACCAAGUAUUCAGCUUAUUACAGAAUGCUUCAAAUAGCAAUAAAGGUAGAGGAAUCAGUGCAAAUAUAACGAGAAUUCGGAAGAUCGGAAAGGAUGCCCUUCAGGCAGGCAACUUAGAUAAGGCACUUGAAAUAUACACAGAAGGAUUAAAAGAUUGUUCAGAUGAAGGAGACUUCAAAAAUGAAGCAAUAAUGUAUACAAACAGGGCAACUGUAUAUACUAAGCUUAACCAACACGAAAUGGCUUUACAAGAUGCAGAAAGUGCUAUUCAAGCUGAUUCAUCAUGGCAUAAGGCACACUGGAGGAAAGGAAAAGAACUGUAUCUUCUGAAAAAAUACGACGAGGCAUUUGAAACAUUCCUAAUUUCAUUUGAAGUAUUUAAGCUAGUAUGUGACGAAAAAGAUUUAGUUGAUUUGAUCAUCGGUGCUGUCAUUGCUUUUCCAAAUA